GCUUUAUGUCCACUUCAGUGAGAUGAAGAAGGUUAAUUAACUUAAAUAUGUGAAUUUAAUGAUUUGAAGCAACUUAUUAUCGAUUGAUAAAUGUGUUUAUACAAGAAAAUCGUCUUUAUACUUAAACAUAAGUUUGUGGAAUUCUUGCAA